rnacentral:misc_RNA from 1 species
GAUGAAGAACGUAGCGAAAUGCGAUACUUGGUGUGAAUUGCAGAAUCCCGUGCACCAUCGAGUCUUUGAACGCAAGUUGCGCCCGAAGCCACUAGGCCGAGGGCACGCCUGCCUGGGCGUCACACGCCGUUGCCCCCCCAUCUACUCCUUCGGGAUUGCGGGGGGGCGGAUGAUGGCCUCCUGUGCGCCUAGCCGCGCGGUUGGCAUAAAUACCAAGUCCUCGGCGACGCACGCCACGACAAUCGGUGGUUGCGAAACCUCGGUUGCCCGUCGUGUGCGUUCGUCGCGCAUCGAGGGCUCGAAAAAAUGCUCGGCUCCGGCUGGGCUUUCAACGCGACCCCAGGUCAGGCGGGGUUACCCGCUGAAUUUAAGCAUAUCAAUAAGCGGAGGA